rnacentral:rRNA from 1 species
GAUGAACGCUGGCGGCGUGCCUAAUACAUGCAAGUCGAGCGAACAGACGAGGAGCUUGCUCCUCUGACGUUAGCGGCGGACGGGUGAGUAACACGUGGAUAACCUAUCUAUAAGACUGGGAUAACUUCGGGAAACCGGAGCUAAUACCGGAUAAUAUAUUGAACCCCAUGGUUCAAUAGUGAAAGACGGUUUUGCUGUCACUUAUAGAUGGAUCCGCGCCGCAUUAGCUAGUUGGUAAGGUAACGGCUUACCAAGGCAACGAUGCGUAGCCGACCUGAGAGGGUGAUCGGCCACACUGGAACUGAGACACGGUCCAGACUCCUACGGGAGGCAGCAGUAGGGAAUCUUCCGCAAUGGGCGAAAGCCUGACGGAGCAACGCCGCGUGAGUGAUGAAGGUCUUCGGAUCGUAAAACUCUGUUAUUAGGGAAGAACAAAUGUGUAAGUAACUAUGCACGUCUUGACGGUACCUAAUCAGAAAGCCACGGCUAACUACGUG